rnacentral:sRNA from 1 species
ACGUAGCACUCGUAGACUCCGAUUCUUGUGCACCGUCCAUGCCUACCGGGCAGCUGCUCGCUCCAUUUUGUUAGCC